AGGAGCUAAGCAUGCAGCAGCAGCAGCAGCCAGGAAAUACAAGCACCGCUGUCUGCUCUAUUUCGAUUUUAGAGGAAGGUACUGAGGCUUCUUUCUUUCCUUGUUUUCUGCCAUCUCCAAUUUCCAAAUGCCUAGGACUGAAAUUUACAGUCAAAACUCAAAAUUUCCUGGUUAUUCUUACUCUGUUUAAAUGUGUUCAUUUGGUCCAUUCCCGCUCCACCCGCUGACAUGCUGAAAGCACCAACCACAUCUUAAAGGACAUGGACGGAUUGCUUAGAUGUGCCAAACUGCUUCCCGCUUCCUCUGUGGAUGCUGCUGACUAACAGGCAUGAGGGAAAUGUUCUUGCAUGCACUCUGCUAGUCAGUACUGUUUACCCGUGACUCCUUAAGACACAUUUUUCUAUUUACCUUUCAAAAUAGGACUGAUAAAGCCUCAGUCUCCUUCCAAAAGAGGGUGGCUGAAGGUCCACGGCCAGCAUGCGACUCUGGACCCAGACGCACGGGAUUAAGACACUAAGAACUUGAGGUAAGAGAGGUCUUGACCUCAGAUUCAGGAAGCUUCCGGGCUGCAGGAACAACCUCAGGAGGAGAGAAGAACAAGGCGUCGCCAUUCCUGGAGCGAAUGACCUGCAGCUCGGCUGCUCCUUUUAGCAGACUGAGUGCAAAGCCAUAACAAGCAAUGCACUCUGCACUCACUGUCUCAGCAAGUGCUGGACCAAUCUCCUUCCACCUCCAUCUUCUCAAACCCAGUCCCAGCAUCUUGUGAUCCCAGCAUUCUUGUGCUCUGCCCAGCUAUGGAAUCCAGACAGCCUGUGACUGACUGUUUCAGCUCCGAUAUCUGCUUACCAAGCAGAAUACCUCCUUCCCCAUCCUGACUCCUUCCAAAGGCCAACCUCGUGGACUCAAACACAGAGCAAAGGCAAGAGCCCCCGGCUGUAUCCAUCCUGCUGGUCCUACCGCACUUAUAAACACUCUCAUACACACCAACUCACUUUCCUUCACGUGAUGUCCAUGCAGCUAUGGAGUGAUGUUUCCAAAAGGUGAGGCUCAGAAUGUCGCUUCUUGGAAACCAUUUCAACAGUCUGCAGAAUUUGAGUCUCACUGAGAUCUGUUACUCCAGCAUGCAUUUCUAAAUGGAACCCAACCCACACCCUCGAAGACUGUCCUUAAAACAUGUUCUGGUUAGCAAGCUGGCAAACUCGCCUGCACACGUUUGUCUCUGUGUAUGGCAACGUUGCCCAAAGGAUAAACUCACAGGCGUCAGGGAAAUCUUAGGUGCAUUCUUCCACAUAGCGGGACUGGAGUGGUGUGGGAGGCAAGAUCUCGGGUCAGGUCCCCACUGCCAGGCCAGCAGCCACACUGAGGACCAAGCAGAACUCCCCUGCAGCACUCUGAUAGCUUCUCAUCCAGCAGCAUACCUUGGAGCAAAUCUACUAGUGACCCACUUGACCCCAAACCCUACAGCCUUACUUAUAUAAUGACAGAAACGUGCCUUAAGGGCUCAAGAGCCUCAAAACGAGACUGAUAGUUGUAAUAAAAGAUGAGGGAAACAGAACUGAGCCUCCAACACUGCUUUACAUGGGCUUCAUUUUCAUUCAUGUCUACACGAGUGGGUUAAGUGGGGUCUACAGAAGCUACGGUGCCGGCCUCUGCUGAAAGGGGAAUGGCAAUGAUGGAGAGGAUGAAAGCCAGCGACAGGAAAAGCUAACAUCUGCUGGGCGCUUUCUGUGUGCGAGGCCUUGUGCCAAGUGCAGCACAUACACACACACACCACUACACACUGCCAAGAGCAAGGAGUCAUUAAAAGAUGCUGAGAAGAGAGAGGCGGCAUUCCAUACUCUGCAGUGAUGGUCAAUAAAGUGUUACUGGAAGGGGAGGGGACAAUUCUGACAAUUCCAGGACAACUCAGAAAGCCGCUGCUUGGCUGCUCAGUGAACAUCCUUGCUAAGUCAACACCUAAAUUGCAUCUGUCUGUCGGGGGAUGCCUGCUGUCCCUCUUUGUUGGUACCCUAUCACCUGAUGCCUGGCUCUAUUCUGCUGCCUUGGGAGUGACAGCCCAGAUAAGGAGGGACUUCCUCUGAUGGCUUCCUCCUGGUACUGGGCAGCCUGACAAAGGUCGCCACAUGUUCCUGAUGCUUCUCUAGAUAGCACAGUCAUAUGUUGCUUUCUGUUACAGAACUUACAGAAAGGAUUUUGUUCACAUGAAAUGGGCACAGUAAUAUAUGAAGUGGGUGACUUAUAUGCAGUUACAUGGAGAAGGAAAGAUCAGGGGUUAUUACCUUUCCUUGGGUUGGGCCUGGGACAACUUCAAGCCAGUGCUCUAUAGGAAAAGACUGUACAGGCUGCCAUCGUGGUGGUCCUGAUGGGCAGACUCAGACAGUUUACAACAGAAUCCACAACUGACCUGGUCUGUGUACGCUAAGUCUCUAAGUAUGCUCAGUUAUUUUUCAAAAAGUCUUGGGGCUGGAGAAAGGGCUCAGUGGUUAAGAGUGGGUACUGCUCUUGCAAAGGGACCCAAAUUUGGUUCCUAGUACCACAUUUGGUGGCUCACAACCACCUACAACUGCAGGUCCAGAGGAUUAGACUCCUCUAAUAUAAGGGGGUACCUGCACUCACACGCACCUACCCAUUCACAUCCAUAUUCCUAAGGAGCAAAACAAAGCUUAAAAAUAAAGGCUUGCAGCAUUAAAACUACUUCUUACCCUCUCACCAUUAGCCCACGUUUAAUGUCCAUAUUACCUCCCUGAACUUGUAUGUAUAUUUUAAUCUAUAAAAUGUAAGUUUGAG
rnacentral:lncRNA from 1 species